UCCAGAGCUGUGAGAUCCGUCUCUCUCCGACCUCGAGGUCGAUUGGGAGGGGCGCAAUCCAGGAGCAGCAUGCUACACGCUGGCGGAGAGCGGCCAGCAGCUGCUGCAGGGAGGGGGCUGCUUCUCCCCGGUGUUGGAGCUCGUCGGGCGGGCAGAGGCCGCCGCGUCGGCGGCCGCCUCGGAGAUCUCCGAGACGUCCUCCGCCGCCGCCAACGCGCUCAGCUCCGUCAUCGCGGCCGUGGUGCGCGCGCCGCCCAAGGACUUCCGCGUCAUCAGGCAGGAGUGGGCGGCCAUCCGCAUCCAGACCACCUUCCGCGGCUUCCUGAUUCCAUUUGACUCUGGUUGUUACCGCUAUAGUUUGUUGUUGGAUGAUGUGUUGGAGCAGCAGCGAGCAACAGACCUUUUCUCGCAGAAGGUGAAGAGGUCGUCGUUGAGCACGUCGGACAAGGUUCUUCAGCUGUCGGACUAGGUGGAGGCACUCUUCCUGAAGCACUUCGCGCUCCUCGACCUCGACCUCGAGCUGGCGCAGGGGCGAGCUGGCGCAGAUGAUGGCGGCUGUGCUCCUCGACCUCGAGCUCCGCCCCCGUUCGCCCACGCUCCUCGACCUCGAGCUCUGCCCCCGCCCGCCUCGGGCCGCCGGUACUUCCCCUGCCCCCCCUCUCGCCGUGCUGCUUGAUGCGAUCUGUGCCAUACCACUGUAUGAACUGGCUGUUGCUUAUCUCAUCACUGUUGCAUUGCCGUCGAGUUAGCGUCUCAUGCCACUUCUGCAGCUGUUUGCUGCCUCACAAUUUUGCAAGAGCAGCCCACUUUCCUGCAGUGAGUGAAACAAAGCCAUGUACCUUACCAAAGCUAGGCGGUUAUGUUUGUGUUUAGCUUUCUCAGUAUAUAUACUUGCUAGUAUUUUUGUGUCUAGCUUUCUCAGUCCAAUUGCCGGCAUGCAAAAGAUGGAUGCACAUGUACCUACAUACCAGAGUAGACCAUCUAUAUAGUCUCUAGCCAUGUUGAUAAUAUAUUUUUUAAGAAAGAAAUCAACUCAGAUUAUAUAUGUACAAUUAUUAUGCACAUACGUAUGGUGACUGCUGAUUGAUUAUUUUUUUCCUUUGAAUCCCAUCUUUAUUGACUAGCAGCACUCGCACUAAGUAUUACAAAUACACCGUGCAUACAAACCAAUCAUAUCAACAUGUAGUUGCUUUGUAUAUCCUGUAAAUAAUUUCUUUGCACGCCCAUUCUGCCAUGUCAAUGAUGAUGAUUUAAUUAUGAUUUCUGCCAAUGGAUGGAUUCACAUGAUGUGACGGACCUGCUACCGGCUGUCUUCCCCGACCACUUAUGUGAGCUGCUCCUGCCGCUGACCCUCCUCAACUUCGCCCUUUGCUCGCUGUUGCUCCUGGUGCCACCGGAUGCAAGGGUGGAGCUUGCGCCUCUUUCUCUACACCAGUUUAUGUUGCUUCCGUUGCUGCGAAUGUGGUUAAGAUGGCAUUAUACACCAGCUUCUUAUGUUGCAUGUGAAUGGGGAAGGCAAGUUGUCGCAUCUGGAGCACAUUAGAGGGAACAAUGAAGUUUGUACUACUUGUACGAGUUGAACAAUGUUAUGUUCUUGUAGGACAGUACCAGAUGUGCUAAUACGAGUUGAAAAAUGUGAUGUAGUAAGUUAAGGCAAAUUGUGUAGAUGAUGUAUUCCUGUGUAAUUAAAUGUUGUAUUCCUUGUGUAAAUGGUGCUUUAAAUGACAUGAUGAUAUUGAAAUUGUGUA